UACAGAGGAUGCAAGCGUUAUCCGGAAUGAUUGGGCGUAAAGCGUCUGUAGGUGGCUUUUUAAGUCCGCCGUCAAAUCCCAGGGCUCAACUCUGGACAGGCGGUGGAAACUACCAAGCUGGAGUACGGUAGGGGCAGAGGGAAUUUCCGGUGGAGCGGUGAAAUGCGUAGAGAUCGGAAAGAACACCGGUGGCGAAGGCGGCCUGCUGGGCUAUGGCUGACACUGAGGCGCGACAGCGUGGGGAGCAAACAGG
rnacentral:rRNA from 1 species